rnacentral:rRNA from 1 species
CAAUAGCGUAUAUUAAAGUUGUUGCAGUUAAAAAGCUCGUAGUCGGAUUUUGGCAUCACGCCGAACUGUCUGCCGAUUGGUAAGUACGGUUUGGCGGGUGCUUCUUUCUUGAAGCUCGUUCCCUUCUUAACUGAAGGGUUCGUUGGUUCAGGUUCUUUUACUUUGAGAAAAUUAGAGUGUUCAAAGCAGGCCUAUGCUCUGAAUAGGUUAGCCUGGAAUAAUAGAAUAGGACUUUGGUUCUAUUUUGUUGGUUUCUAGGACCGAAGUAAUGAUUAAUAGGGACAGUUGGGGGCAUUCAUAUUCCAUUGUCAGAGGUGAAAUUCUUGGAUUAACGGAAGAUGAACUUCUGCGAAAGCAUCUGCCAAGGAUGUUUUCAUUG